CUGUAUAGUCCUUGGGGUCUCAAAGAGUUGGACACGACUGAGCGACUUUCGCUUAUAGUUGAUUUACAAUGCUGUGUUAGUUUCAAGUGUAUAGCAAAGUAAAUCAGUUAUACAUGUACAUAUUUCAGGUUUGUAAGAUUCUUGUCCUAUACAGGUGAUUAAAUAAUACUGAGUAGAAUUCCCUAUGCUAUAUAGUAUGUGUUUGUUAGUUAUCUCUUUUAUAUAUAGUAGUAUGCAUAAUGGGCAGUGCUAAUAGAGAAUAUUUCCAUUGUUGAAGAAAAUGUCAUCAGUGAGGAAACUUGAAACACUUUGAAUAACAUUUAGUGUUGAGUAGUAGAUGACUCUAUCUGUAUGUAUUUUUUUUUUAAUUUUUUUAUUUUUUGUAUUUUAUUUUUUAAAAAAGGUCUAGGUAGUUAAAUUAUGUUUAGAGCUAUUUGGUGUUGUUUAAUCACUCAGUUGUGUCCAACUCUUUGUUGUGUCCAACACCAGGCUCCGCUAUGCAUGGGAUUUUCCAUCCAUUUAUUAGAGCUAUUUAAUAAAUAAAUAAAUUAAUAAUUUAUUUAUAAAUUAAAAUAUUUAAUUUAUAAUAAUUAGUGUAUGGUAUAGUCAGAUUAUUUUUUUGGAACAAGAAUUUAAAUUCAUCAAAAUUUCCCCCAUUAAAAUGUUAUCUGGCCUUUUUGUUUUGAUAAGGAUAUAUAGGCAAAUUUUAAUAAUAUAGUUCAUAUAUGGGGUGCUGGAUUAAAAGGUCUUCAUAAAAAGAUGUUAAAAGUCUUCACCAGUUUAUUUCACACUAAAAAGUAGGUCAAUAGAUGAAAAGGAUACCUCUGUUGGAUUGACAGGUGAAAAUGUGGCAGAUACCAAUGUUUCUGAUUAAUCUAGUAAUGUAGAACUAACUUCUAUUUUAAAAACCCAAAUUUACACUUUUCGUUCUUUAAAACAAUCUGCUUUUUCUUUCUGAUUGAACAUUCCACAUUGAAUUCAGUUAUUGUCCAAUGAUGGGGAUCUUGGCUAUUACUUCUGUGAGUAAAGAGCAAUGUAAGUAACGAAGUUUCUUUUCUUGGUUUGUGUGGUUUAUUCAAGUGUGGUCACUGAAGUAGCUCAAAAGAAUAAAAGGCUGUAUGCAUAAAACCAAAUAUAAGAACACCAAGUGUGGCCGUAGUGAGAAUGUGUUAUGGCCCAAGGAGUAGAAUGAACACAUUUCAGUACCUCUGAGAUUCAUCUUAAAAAGAGAUGGAAGGCAUUGAAUUAAAUUUUUCAAAACUGUUGUCUAUUCGAUAUUAUUUCUGCACCACAGUUGGUUUAGUAUUUCAAUAUUAUUAGAGACCCAGACUGUUAACUGUUUAGAGGAGGCUCUUAGAAGGGGCAACUUAUUGUGUGUGUUCUAGAUGUAGGGUACCAUUGUGGUUUUUGGAUGGCUCAUUACAUCAUGCUUAAAAUUGAGUGAAUUAAAUUUGUAUGGCCUAAUUAUGGCUAAUUUUUUGUGAUGGUCCUGAUAUGAAACAAGGUUACACUCGUAUCUAGCCUGUAAACUGUCAGAAAUCAGCCUAGAGGCAAUGAUUAGAGUUACAUCUUGUGACUGUUCUGGGAUCCUGUUCUGGGAGUUUGUGACUCAUGGGAUAAUGGAGGUAUAAAUUAGCAAAGACAAAGAGUACUAAGACUGGACCAGUCAUGAGAUGGGAGGGUGUCUGGAUCAAACAUUUUGAUUAAAGUGAUAUCUAACUCUGCGGUCCAUCAUUUACAAGUGGCCUUCUUUUCUUUUUUUUUUUCCCUUUAUGGAAACGAGUAUUCAGCAGAAGUUCAGAAUAUUCAGAUAUCUGGAUCACAGACAUCUUCUGGAGAUAGAUUGAUUUUUACGAGUAAAUCAAUGUAUGAGUAAAUGAAGAAAUGUAAAGAUGGGUAAAUAUAAAGAAAGCAUGGACCAGUUACGUGAGUAUGUAGCAAACAUGGAUUAUUAUUAUACAUUACUGGGGCACUGAAUGGAGAAGGACAUGAGAUUUCUUGCCUGGAGAACCCCAGGGACAGAGGAGCCUGGUGGGCCGCCGUCCAUGGGCUCACAGAGAGUCGGACACGACUGAGUCACCAAGCACAGUGCAGCACACAGCACUGAAUUUUAGUGAGAUAUAUUCAUAAAGGCUGUUGCUCUUUUUUCAAAGGAGUAUGUAUGCAGAUGAAUUUAAGAUUCAGUAGUAUUGCUUGGUGUAGGUGUUUUGCUAGUUGGCUGUUUAGAGAAGAGAAAAAUUACAAAUAAAUGCUGAUUGAGUAAUUAUUUAAUUGAUACAAGAAUGAACAUAGCUCAUCUUCAGAAUGUACCUCAUGAAAAUGGUUAUUGUUAAUCCAACUCUUUUCACUGAGUUUUAUUAAAAACAACAAAACCACCUCGUCUUUAAAUUUCUGUAGGUAUUGAAAUAGACAUAUGGAGAUAAUAAAUACUAUUUAAGUUUCUUAUCUAAUGUUAGUUAGUUCCUAGAUAUUGAUGUGUUCUUACAUAUAAAUAGAUGAAGUCCUAAUCACAGUCAAUAGUUUAAAAGGAGGCAAAUGUGGCUCAGUAAGAAAGAAUAAUGACUCAUCUUUAUGUAUACCCCUAAUUCUCUGUUCCUAGUUUAGAUAUGAACAUGUAGGCAGGUACAUGAAGAUCAUUUCUAUUUUGGGUUGUUUCUAUUCUGGAUUUCCAUCAUUUUCUUUGUGUGUUUAUAUAUUUGAACAUAUGGUCACAUAUUCCAUGAAUAAUUCCAUACCUGAAUAAAUACAGCAAUGAACAAUUGAAUUAAUGUGUGAGUAGAGUCAAGCAUAGACUUUGGUGAGAAUAUGCCAUGAAUGAUAAAUUCUAAAUUCAGCCAUUUCACUGCAAAUUGAGUCCAUUAAAAGGAUUAUCUAGGCUUUUACUUAGGUGGGUAGGGGUCUGUAGACAGGUAUGAGCAGUAGUAAUAGUUUUUAUUUUUGAGUAAUGAACUCAACUGUGCUCAUUGUAGGAUUUGAAAGUAUUAGUUAAACCAAGUAAUAAAAACGAGUGCUCUUCUUGGGUCAAAGAUGAAAGUGAGACUUGAGUCGACUUCAUGAUUAACCUAGGAUCACACAGCUAAUAUCCUUUAUAUCAGUCUACAUCUGGACAGUUCCUUCUUCUGAACAUUGGCAUUUGACCCCACAGAAUGAAGACUAUGGCUGCUUCAGUCUUCUCUGAGGAAGAUCUUGGCUCUUACCUUUGUGGAAUGGAUGCUCAUGAUUCAAUUAAGGACUGUAGAAACUUACAAUGGAUGCCUAUUAGCAGAUUUCAGCAUCGCCCAUGGUCAUGUGCUCUAUAGACCAAGAAAUGAAUGAAGAAAAAGAGAGUCAGCAUGAAGCAAUGAAGACAAUUGAUGCCACGUGAAUUAUAGAUGGUGAACAAUAUGUGUGUAUGGAACUCUGAGGUCCAACGCAAAACAUAAUUAAUCAGAUCCCUUUGUUGGAAAUGAUCUUGUAGAGACAGAUACUAGAAAUAUACAGAGAUCGUAUUCUUACCCUGAGUUCUUUGAUUAAAUUUAUUAUUGUUAAUGGAUCAAUAAUGUAACUAUUAAAGGAGUAUAAAUAAAUAGAUGAAGGACCAUUAGAGAAGUACUAAAGGAAUAGAUAAAAGAGAGUGAGGCAUUGUCUAACUGUGAAGAUAUGUGGUGAGGCAAGAGUUAUUAUUAAUAGAAAUUGAAAACACUGAUGCCUCUUCGGUAUCAAUUGAUCAAGGAUCACCAAGAGUCAGUUUUAUUUUCUGAAAAUUAGAGUCAGUUUUAUUUUCUAUGUCAAUCUUAAAUUUGAGGUUAUUCCUUUUGUUAAGAAAAAAUUAAAGUAUGAAAAAUUAGUGACUACCAAGGUGCUUUAAAUAAAUAAAAUAUGGAAUGGAAAAUCAGUUCAGACAAGGUCUCAUUUUUAUUGAAUCAUCUACUCUGCUUUGUAUUUCUCAGAAUGGACCAGUUGAGCUGACUGAAAAGUUCUUUCACGGACAUGCUCUCUAGUUGCCUCCAUGUCUUUGGUGUAUAGAGGCCCAUAAAGAGGACGCAGAACUCAGAAGUUCAUGGUGGCAUCACUAUAGGAGCGUCAAGCCCUCUAAUCAAUGCACUCAAGCGGAUAUAUGAAUUUUCCAUGGUUUCCUUUGUGUAUUGAGAGCCUAGAGAAGAAUAAUGGACGCACACCAAUGGGUUGAAGUAUCUUCCAUGGUCUUGGGCUCUAUAGACUGAUAAUGGAUGCACCUGAAUUGAUUAAGCAUCUGACUGUGAUCAGGACCUCCGCUGGUUUUCCUGUGUAUAAAUACAUGUGGGUCAUAAUGGAUCCUACAAGCUGAUCUCAGCUUCUGCUCUGAUAGGAUCAUCAUGUUGCCUCUGUCAGGAGGGCAACAAAGACCACUAAAUGGGUACACCUGGACUGAAAAGACCAAGAUCUCUAGGCUGCCAGUAUGUUUAAGAAAUGAGUAUAUGACUACAUAGAUGAAGAAAAUCGAAUAAGGACAGAUCUGUAUGAAUGAUGAGAAAUGAAAAUUUAUGAUUAAUUUGAUUAUGAUAAAUUUGAUCAUUUGGGAUGAUUUUAAAAACAGUUUGAGUCCCUGUCAUCCAUUUUUAUAGCUCUUUAAAUUUUUGUUUUAGGUUUUCCCUAAAUAUUCCUUAGUUGAUAGCAAUGUAAGAUAUUUUCAUCAUGAGGAAGAGCACAUUGGAGAUAAUGAACUGAACUGACGUAAGCCUUCUGCCAUGGCAGUGAAUUCUGUAUUAGCAAAGAGACAAAUGGUGGGUUCUCAAUGCUGUUCAAGUUUCCCAUGAUUCCUGUGAUCAGAAAACUUAUGGCUGCAUCUAUGUGUGGGAACCAGUAACAGACACUGGAGUGGACCUCAGCUCCUGCCACAAUGAAGAUCAUCGUAAUGUCUCUGUCAGGAAAGAGGCCAAGACUGGACACACUUGAGGUGAUUUAACCAUCUUCCAUGAUCCCAAGCCCUUUGGUUGCCUCUAUAUAUUCAUUAGAAGUAUGGUGACCAGUAAUGGAUGCCCUUGAACUGACUUAAGCAUCUUCCAUGGCCUGGAGCCCUGUGGUUGCAUCUGUAUGUUAGGACAAUGGAGAUCAAUGUGAGUACUAGUCAAUGUACUUGUCUUGGAUUAAGCCAUAUUUUUAAAAGAUAUUAAAAAUUAAAUAUCAUAAAAAUUCCAGAAAUCUGAUGUCAAAUACCAUCGAUGCAAAGCAAUAUGACAAUUAAUCCAUAGAUGAAGCACUGAGAUCAGUUAAUGAAAGAGUUGAGUGUCAGUGGAAAUGAUUGUUUAGAUGGAUGUCAGAGAUAUUCAAGGGUCUUACUCAUGAUUUAUUUGCAUAACUUACGUGCAUUUAAAUAAUCAUGAAUUAAUAAACAAAUGUAGAUUUUGGUAGGGAAAGAGCCCCUCCUGGACCAUAUGACUGGAAGCAUGGGAGUCUAUGGUGUAACCCUGAUACCUCACAAAGCAAAAUCUAGUCAAUCUUUGAUUUUAAAUAACCCCAGAGAUGGAUGUCAGGAAAGCACAAACAUCAUAUUCCAUUUUGAUUUAAAUGUAUUUUUGAUUUUAAAUGAUUUGAUUUAAAUGAUUUAAAUGAUUUAAAUGUAAUACAGAUUUAAAUGUAUUAAUGAUAAUCAAUAUGCAAACUGUUAAAAAUGUAAAAGGACAUGUAAAAAGCAGAAAGGGAAGGUUGUCCACUAGGAACAUAUGUGGUGAGGCAGGAAAUAUUAUUGAUAAAAUUGACAGCAUUCAUGCCCAUUAAGCUAGGCAUUUUGCCUUCUUACUGAAAAGGUCAUAAAGACACUGAUAUGUAAGAGCCAGCAUUGUUGUUCUGGGUCAGUUUCACGUUUAAGGGUUUCUUUUGUUAAGAGAAAAAAAUGCUACACUAGGAAAAAUUAAUAAAUGCCUAAAUGAGUAAAUGAAAGGUGGAAAACAUGGAUCAGUGGCGAUAAGGUCUCCAUUUUAUCAUGUUCUCUGCUCUGUACUCCUUAGAAUGGGUACACUUAAACUGGUAGGAGCAUUCUUCCACAGUCAUGAGAUCUCUUGUUGUAUUCAUGUUUUAGGACUGUGGAGGCCAUAUGAGUAAUAGAGAAAUUUUGGUCUUAGUUUCAAUGUUUUGUUUAAAGGUAUUGACUUUAUUAUUGCAAACUGUGAAAUACAAUCAAUGAAAUCCAGAUAGCCCAGUGUGAAAUAUGGGAUUAAUAUGAAGCAUUAUAUGAUUAAUUCAUAUAAUGAUGAUUCAUGAUGAUUUAUAUGAUCAAAAUGAAUGAAUGAAAGACCUACAACUGCGCCUUAGGGACCCAAAGAUGAACUUGGGUAGAAGAUGAGGGGUGGGCAAGUAACCCAGGGUAUCUGGAAACCUGAGGGCCAUGAUAGCAUAUCUCCUCUUGUCUACUUUUCUUUCUUCCUGUGGACAGAUAUUGGGAAUCUAUAAGUUAUAUUCUUAUGUUGGGUUAGUGAAUUUAGAUUUCUUGUUAUCAAAAGACAGGUCCCUUGAAAGGAUAUACCUACUAGAUUGAGUAGAAAAUGUCAGUCAGUGUCUCCUCUGGACACUUGCGGUCCUGCAAGAAAUAAUGAUAAAAAUUGCCUCUGUGGAUACACAUUUAGCAGCACAUGAACCUAAGAGGUCAACUCCUUGGCAAAUAGAGUAGGUCUUCCUAAACACAUGUAGAUGUACUACAGAAGAGUCACUUGUAUUGUUUGUAUACUCUCAGAUUUGAGUAUAGUUUUAUUUCCAGAAAACAAUAUCUUUGCAUUAUGAAAUAGGUAUUAAUUCCUCAUGAUUCAGAACAUGAAAUUUGGAGUGGAAGAAUCAGUGGCCCUAAAUUUUUCUUUCUCUCUCUUUUUCUUUCAUUUUCAUGGACUGGACUCUAUUCAUGGGAAUCGACGCCUUUGAGCUGAAUAAACUGUCAGUAGUCCGUGGUCAUGGACCUUAUGGUUGUUGAAACCCGUAGUGAAUGCACGGGAUCUGAUGGAGGGAUUCCUCAUGAGCACCGGCCUAGGAUGGCAUCUUUGCUGUUGGGACCAUAGAACCCAGACCCAUAAUAGAAGCUCAUGGUGAUUUCAGCCUCCAUGAUGAUCAAGGUCAUGUGCUUCAGGUUGCUACGAGACAGAGAGCCAGGAAGAGUCCUGAAGGAUGAAAACAUUUCUGAAGUGUCUUUCUGAGAUCCGACACAGAAUAUAAGUAGUCUAUGUCCUUUGUUGAAAUUGUUGUUGUCUGGUAUCAAAAAGAUCAUAUUCUUGUUACUUUCAUAGUUAUGGUAGUUAUUAACAAUGAAUCUAUAAUGAAAUCAUUAAACACAUAAAUAAACAUGUAAGGAAAACUUGUGAAAGUGUUCUCAUAUGAGUAUCUUCUUUUUAGAAAAGGUAUUGUGAAUAAAAAUUCAAAAUUGUGACUCCCGUUAAACUGGAGAGGGUCACUUCUUUGGCCAGAAUGCUAUAGACAUGCUUAUAUAAUAGCCAUUUAUUUUUCAGAAUAAACUUAAACUUCUUUUAAGAAGUUUAAGAAAUAAACAUAGAAUAAGUAAUGAAUAAUUAAAUGUGGUAUAAAUGAAAUGCCCCAAGUAAGGAUCAGUGGCGAUUUGGUCUCAAUAUUUUCAUCCCCUUCUGUGUUUUGCGCUCCUCAGAAUGAAUGCACUAGAGAUGAUAUAGAAUCUGUCGUGGGCACCAGAUCUGUGGUUGCCUCUGAAUAAUAAGAGAAUGGAGAUUAAUAUGAGUAAUAAUUGAAGUUCCAUUUUCAGUAUUUUUUAUUAAAGAAAUUCACUCAAUCAUUAAGAAAUGUGGAAUAAGAGUGAAGAAGGUAGCUACAUUUCUGUUUAGUAUGUAUAUAUGAACCAUUGUACUGAUUAAUCCUAAAUGGAAAAUGACUAUUAAUGUGAGAUAUAUUAAACUAGCAGUAAUUCUGUAUACACCAAAGCUCCUGUGUUUUUAAUUGCACUGCUAAAAUUGUUAGUGAAUUUAUGAUUUAUACAAUAAAGAAAUAGAAAUGUAUUUAGAAAAAGAGGGUCAAUAUUGGAUCAGUGAUGACUACCCGUGGCGUAUGAGUCAUGUAUGAUGAAUACAUCUCUGGAACUCUGAGAUCCAAUGCAAAUGGAAUUUAUUCCAUUGUGUUGUUUGAAGUGAUCCUAUAGUCAAAGGUUAUGAAUAUAAAAAGAUAUUUGUUUUGGUUAUUAUGACCAUGCAUUUUGUUUUCUAUUUUUAUGAUUUGAUGAAUGAAAUAGUUGCAAAUUUAUAAAAUAAAUAAUGAUGACUCUAAAGACUUUUCAAUAAUAAAAAUAUGUGGUUUUGGGAAAUAAUACCAACAUAGACUAAUACAUUAAUAUAUAUUGAAAAGACUGAUAUCCAUUAGGUAAAAAAGUCCUAGAAAGAUGUUAUCUCUUUGGUUAAGAGUGAUGUGGAAAAUGAUAGGUAAUAGUUACUGACUGAGUCAGUAAUCGAUUUGACAUUAGAUUCAUUAAGGGAAAAAGAAGUCGAUAUUAUCAUCAUUUAGUAAAUGACUAAGUAACUGUGCAAAUGAAUCGCAGAUUAUUGGAUCAAUGGGGAGAAUAUCUGAAUAUUUUUGUCACCUUGUCUGGUUGUUAUUCUUCAGAAGGGGUGUUCCUGCUGCUUCAGCUUUCACUGUGUUCAGUCAUCGGCUGUCUCCGUGUCAGGAAAACCCCAAGAAUGAAUGCAGUAGAAUGAUUUAACAUCUUGCAUGGACUCAAACUCUGUAGUUGCCUCUGUAUAAUAGGAUGAUGGAGAUUAAUAGUGGGAGCAUGAGAUCUGAAAGAAGGAUUCUUCAUGGAGCGCCUGCUUAGGAUGGCAUCUUUGUGGUUGGAACCAGAGACCCAUAACAUUAGCUCAAGUUGAUUUCAGCCUCUACUGUGAUCAAUAUCAUUUUUAGGAAAGAGCAAGAAUGAAGGCAGUGGAGAUGAUUUAGCGUAUUUCAUGGACAUGAGCUCUAUGAUUGCUUUGGAACAGGAGGAGGAUGAAGGUUAAUGUGGAUGUUUCUGCUAUCUCAGCUUCUGCUGUGCUUGGUGGUCACACCACCUGUGUGUCAGGAAGGAACUUAAAUAUUAUUCCGUGGCGGUGCACCUUCUGACUGACUGCACCUCUGUGUUAGGUCCACAGAGACCAGUAAUGGGUGCACUUAGGUGGAUGGAAGCAUCUUCCACGGUUACACUCUCUCCGGUUUCAUUUGUGUUGUGGGUAUGUUAAGACCAUACCCUACCCCCUCGAGCUGAUUUAAGCAGUGGUACCGUGAUAGUGACCCCUGUGUUUGCAUCUCCGUGUUAGGAGUACAGAGGCCAGUACUUGCCACAAUGGGCUGAUGUUCGCCUUCCUCGCGGUCAUGAAUUCUGCGGUUGCAUUUGAUGUGUUAAGGGUUUAGGAGAGCAAAAUGCUGGAGCUGAUUUUAGCCUCUGUUGUUACCAAGAUUGUGAGACCAAGGACAGAUGCAUCUUCCACCAUCAUGAGCUCUGGGGUUGCCUGUAUUUAAUAGGAAUACAGAGAUUAAUAAUGGACAUGAACUACUGUAAUGAUCAAGACCUUCAUGGUUCAAGGAUGGAUGGACUGUAGCUCAUUCAGUUUUUCCCCAACCAUGAAGAGCUUAGCCUAAUCCCUCUGGGGAAGGAGCACACCACGCCGUGAUGUUACUCAUUUAGGAAGUCAGUACUCCAUUUGUUGAGUAGGACAGAGGAUUCAUGGCUGUUCAUUGUAACAUCUAAAAAUUGUUCAAAUUAAAUGCUGAAGGACCACACCUGGACCAAUGAUGUGAAUGGAAUGCAUCUGAAUGAAAAUUAUGAUCAAUCAUGUUUGGAACCCCUGAGGUCCAUGGUGAAAAGACAAUUAGUGUAUGAUUCUUGGGAGAAUCAUCCCAGGAUGUUUGAGAAUCUAGUUGAGAGGGUUCAUAGAUACUGGCUUUAUACUAUCUGUAAAUAAAUGAAUGGAUCAAUAAAUAUAUUGAAAAGAAAAGAGAGGUCAAAACACAGACCAACUUGGAAGACAUUUAUAAAACAGGGAAAAUAUAAUUAGUUUCAGUUCAGUGUGAAAUUUCAGUUCUGAAAUAUAAUUAUUUCACUCACUCAAUUUGAAGUAUGUUGGUCCAUCAAGAAGACACACAUCAAGUUGUUACUGGUUUGUGUGAGAUACAGCUAAGCUAAAUAUAUAUCCUUCUCUUAGUUUGAAGUGGGUUUGAUUCAUUAAACAAAUGGUUAACUAAAUGAAUGAGUAUAAAAUAUGAGCCGAUGAUCAGUGUAUGUU